ACGUUUCUUUUACAGAACGCAACGGACGCGGGAUGGACGGGCUCCGGAACGGAGGCGUCAUCGCGGCUCGUUUAACAGAACGCGGCUAAUGCAGGAUAGAUCGAAACUGGAGCGAGCGAUGUCGCGACUCGUUUAACAGAACGCGGCGUACGCAGAAAGAAUCAACUCCGGAACGAAUGGCGUUACGAUUCAUUAAAUUAAUCGUACAGUAUCGUAUGUACUACAAUUCUGCUAUUGCACAUCGUGGGAAUAUAAUCGGAAAAGAAGAUCUAACAACUCGGAAAUAGAUCAUACUUGAGGGAUGUAUCGGGUCUCGGUGGAGUAACUUUGUGAUUCAUCGAAGUGACGUGUCUAAUAAUUCCACUGCGCAUCAAUCGAGAUAGAGACGACAGGGAGUACGUACACGGAGACGGAUCGCGCGGGGAGAGAUCGGCGAGUUAUAUAGCACGGGAACGAAGGAAGAAACGAAGAAUAACCAAGAAGGAGAAAGGAGGGGAGGAAGAGAGGGACUCUGCACUCUUGAACUAUCCGCAGCAAAUGUAGACCACGAGAAUGUGUCGCAACCGUCUCUGUGUUUGCCACACCACCUCCCACAUCUCCCUCUUCGAUAUCGCUCGAACCCUUGCUACUUUGCCGGAAAUCUCUAUUCUUUGUGUUGAUGAAUCAAAAAUUGCAAAAAUUCUCAUUUUCUAAAUUUUUCCUGUAUAUACAUAACAUAAUACAUUCAAUAAUGCGAUAGAUACAAUAAAUUAUUUUAAAUCUUUA
rnacentral:lncRNA from 13 species